GUGCAUGGUUUGACAGUAUGAUAUACGUUGCCACAACAGCAAACAUAAUCACAUCAAUAACAUAGGUUUAUACAUAUGUGGCAUAGAAGUAAAAGCACGUUUUUUUAAAACAUUUUUUAAACGUAGUAAGGCAAUCUAGUAGUAUAUGUCAUGCAAGUAUCAACAUUAGUUAAUUCGUCCUUUAAGCUUUGUCGUCAAUUAAGUUAAGCUAGAAACAGGCUUGAACAGUGAUAACCAUAAGUUUACACAACUAUGCAUAGACACUUUAUGCUGUAAAUGGUUUGGCUAGUAGGCAUGGAAAACAUAGGCUCUCAACAUACUAUAGGUACAGGAACAUUUUGGUUGCUGGCUGGCAACGUCCAUUUGCAGAGUUGGGUUGCGGUAGGGUCACCCUGCGUCAGUAAUAUAUGCAAACUUUAAAAAAAUGAAAUAACACAACGUAACAUUAGUUCAGGUAUAUCAAAUAUAUCUGAGGUGUGCCCACUAGGUAAAACCUGUUCGACGGUGUCUGCAGGAGAAAGUCUCAGCAUGCUAGUAUGCAUAGCUCGCGUGUCGGUCUUCCGGCCUGCCUGCGCCCGGCGGUGAAGGGCUGGUGCAUCCCCAGUGUGGCCUAUUCAGCCGAUACCCCGCUUGUGUAUGGGUGUUGCAGUUGAUGAAGGUGUCUGGCUGGGAGCCGCUAUGGUCGGCUUCAUGCAGGGUGUUACAGUCCCUUGAGUGAAUGAUCUCUGGGGUGCUGUGUGUAUAAUGUGGGUGCUCCUUGGUCGGUCCCAUCCCGACCGGCUGUUAUAGUGGGGCUGGGCAUGCUCGAAUCCUCCAGCCCGGGUUGUAGCGGAGAGCACUUCCCUGCGUCCUCGGGUCCUUCUCCCAC